UACCAUGCAGUCGAACGAUGAUCCUCACUUGUGGGGGGAUUAGUGGCGAACGGGUGAGUAACACGUGAGUAACCUGCCCUUAACUCUGGGAUAAGCCUGGGAAACUGGGUCUAAUACCGGAUAUGACUUUCCAUCGCAUGGUGGUGGGUGGAAAGCUUUUUGUGGUUUUGGAUGGACUCGCGGCCUAUCAGCUUGUUGGUGAGGUAAUGGCUUACCAAGGCGACGACGGGUAGCCGGCCUGAGAGGGUGACCGGCCACACUGGGACUGAGACACGGCCCAGACUCCUACGGGAGGCAGCAGUGGGGAAUAUUGCACAAUGGGCGCAAGCCUGAUGCAGCGACGCCGCGUGAGGGAUGACGGCCUUCGGGUUGUAAACCUCUUUCAGUAGGGAAGAAGCGAAAGUGACGGUACCUGCAGAAGAAACGCCGGCUAACUACGUGCCAG
rnacentral:rRNA from 1 species